GGACUCUUAGGCCUUAACUUUCAUGUAACCUAGUCGCGUAAGACUUGAGAAAAGAAUCAAUUUGGUGGUUGUAUGCAAUUGCAAUUGAUUCAAUUGGUUUUGAGAACUAUGGAUGAAUGGUGUUGUUGGGGUUUACAGUUUCAUCUUAUCCACUCUCAUAUAUCUACUCUUCUUAUUUAAUUCACUUGUUUAUCUAAUUGCCAUGCAAACUUUCUUAAUUACCCUUAGCCCAAUUCCUUGGUGAAAAGAGCCUAUUACUAAUUACCGGCUUGCUAUCCAUAGCCUCCCCUACUAACUAAUAAUGCAAUGCGUUCUGAAGCAAAUGCAAUUGACCAUCCUAUCCCUAUCCCUAGGCGAUAUUGGCAUAAUCAAGGAAUUUCCCACCAGUUCAUGACAUUAUCGUACGUCCCCACAUCGAUAAAGACAAACAUCAUUUACUGAAUGAGUUAAACAAUA
rnacentral:lncRNA from 1 species